AAUUGUAAAAGGUUGAUGAAUGUUCUCUCAUUAGACAGUGUAGUGUAGUGCUGUGGCUAGAGGUCAUCACUGGCCACAGCUAGAGGUCAUCAUUGGCCACAGCUAGAGGUCAUCACUGGCCACAGAUAGAGGUCAUCACUGGCCACAGCUAGAGGUCAUCACUGGCCACAGCUAGAGGUCAUCACUGGCCACAGCUAGAGGUCAUCACUGGCCACAGCUAGAGGUCAUCACUGGCCGUGGCUUGAGGUCCUGACAAGCAGCAGCUUCGCUAACGUGGACAAUUGCUCAUCUGUAACAAAAUCUCUUUCAUAUUGGGCGAGAAUAAACCCCAAUGUU